UUACGGCCAUUUCACGCUGAAACACCAUUUCCUGUACGAUCACAGAAGUUAAGCAACGUCGAGCCUGAUCAGUCUCUAUAUGGGUGACCGCUUGGGAAUACCAAAUACUGUC